rnacentral:rRNA from 1 species
AGCGAACGCUGGCGGCAGGCCUAACACAUGCAAGUCGAACGAAGCCUUCGGGCUUAGUGGCGGACGGGUGUGUAACACGUGGGAACGUACCUUUUGGUUCGGAACAACUCAGGGAAACUUGAGCUAAUACCGGAUGAGCCCUUAGGGGGAAAGAUUUAUCGCCGAAAGAGCGGCCCGCCUUAGAUUAGCUAGUUGGUGAGGUAAAGGCUCACCAAGGCUACGAUCUAUAGCUGGUUUUAGAGGAUGAUCAGCCACACUGGGACUGAGACACGGCCCAGACUCCUACGGGAGGCAGCAGUGGGGAAUCUUGCGCAAUGGGCGAAAGCCUGACGCAGUCAUGCCGCGUGAAUGAUGAAGGUCUUAGGAUUGUAAAAUUCUUUUACCAGGGACGAUAAUGACGGUACCUGGAGAAAAAGCCCCGGCUAACUUCGUGCCAGCAGCCGCGGUAAUAC